rnacentral:tRNA from 1 species
GGUUCCAUAGUGUAGCGGUUAGCAUGUCUGCUUUACACACAGAAGGUCCUGGGUUUGUGCCCCAGUGGAGCCG